rnacentral:other from 1 species
AAAUCCCUGCGGUGUGCGUUAGAAGCCAUUAAUAAAGAACCAAUUAAUGAAUAUGGGACGCUAAACUUCCAUGAUGUCUAAGGGCAUUUUGGGGAGGUUCCCACUUAGAGAAUAGGUUCACUUAUUCCUCGGCACGACGGCACAGCGGGGAUUUU